rnacentral:misc_RNA from 1 species
GUGAAUCAUCGAAUUUUUGAACGCAAAUUGCACUCUCUUCGGAGAGUAUGCCUGUUUGAGGGUCAGCCUAAAAAAAAUCGACAUAGUCGCUGUUUCGCGGUGACAUUCGUCGGUAAUUUGGUCAUCUUAAAUCUUUUGGUCUUCUGUGUCUUAAAAUUUUCUUUUUUGUUCCAUGAAUGUUUCUAAGAUUUAUUUCUUUACAUGUUUAAGGUACCGAUUUUUAUUAGACGUGACCUUCAUUUCGUUU